GUACAAUCCAUGCAUGCUUCCACAUAUUUUGGCAGGAGAAAGUAGGAGUCCACUGACAAUGGUUUGGGAUAUUACUAGCCAGUGUUCCUGAAUUUAUACAUUUUUUAUCUCUUUCUGCCUUUCACACUUUUUGCUACAGUAAUCUACACACAAGACUUGCUCAAUGCUUUCAUGAUUUUAACCACAAAGAGGAAGAGAAAAACAAGAAGGGCAUGGUAUACAGUGACACACCGUUUGCGGUAGAAGCGAGGGGAAAUGAUCUGAACAACUGAAAGAAUUUGUGUUCAUGAAGUUGCUCAGACAAGGAGCUGAUGGAGCAGGGCAUUGAAAUCUCCUUGCAUAUUGGAGUUUAAUUAUAAAGCAUUAGGUUAAAUUUAACUCCUCAGAAUCAUUAUGAAAAUUUGUAACUCUCUGGGACAAUUUUAGAUCCAUCAACUGGCACAUAAAUUUAGCACUCAUACACUAUAUGUAGAAGUGUGUAAAUAUGCAAGCAGCCACCC